AGAGUCUGAUCCUGGCUCAGGAUGAACGCUAGCGGCAGGCUUAACACAUGCAAGUCGAGGGGUAUAGUAGCAAUACUAGAGACCGGCGCACGGGUGCGUAACGCGUAUGCAAUCUACCUUUUACAGAGGGAUAGCCCAGAGAAAUUUGGAUUAAUACCUCAUAGCAUAGCGACUCCGCAUGGAGAUGUUAUUAAAGUCACAACGGUAAAAGAUGAGCAUGCGUCCCAUUAGCUAGUUGGUAAGGUAACGGCUUACCAAGGCUACGAUGGGUAGGGGUCCUGAGAGGGAGAUCCCCCACACUGGUACUGAGACACGGACCAGACUCCUACGGGAGGCAGCAGUGAGGAAUAUUGGUCAAUGGGCGCAAGCCUGAACCAGCCAUGCCGCGUGCAGGAUGACGGUCCUAUGGAUUGUAAACUGCUUUUGUACGGGAAGAAACAGUUCUACGUGUAGAACCUUGACGGUACCGUAAGAAUAAGGAUCGGCUAACUCCGUGCCAGCAGCCGCGGUAAUACGGAGGAUCCAAGCGUUAUCCGGAAUCAUUGGGUUUAAAGGGUCCGUAGGCGGUUUGGUAAGUCAGUGGUGAAAGCCCAUCGCUCAACGGUGGGACGGCCAUUGAUACUGCCAGACUUGAAUUAUUAGGAAGUAACUAGAAUAUGUAGUGUAGCGGUGAAAUGCUUAGAGAUUACAUGGAAUACCAAUUGCGAAGGCAGGUUACUACUAAUGGAUUGACGCUGAUGGACGAAAGCGUGGGUAGCGAACAGGAUUAGAUACCCUGGUAGUCCACGCCGUAAACGAUGGAUACUAGCUGUUGGGAGCGAUCUCAGUGGCUAAGCGAAAGUGAUAAGUAUCCCACCUGGGGAGUACGUUCGCAAGAAUGAAACUCAAAGGAAUUGACGGGGGCCCGCACAAGCGGUGGAGCAUGUGGUUUAAUUCGAUGAUACGCGAGGAACCUUACCAAGGCUUAAAUGUAGAUUGACCGUUUUGGAAACAGAACUUUCGCAAGACAAUUUACAAGGUGCUGCAUGGUUGUCGUCAGCUCGUGCCGUGAGGUGUCAGGUUAAGUCCUAUAACGAGCGCAACCCCUGUUGUUAGUUGCCAGCGAGUCAUGUCGGGAACUCUAGCGAGACUGCCAGUGCAAACUGUGAGGAAGGUGGGGAUGACGUCAAAUCAUCACGGCCCUUACGCCUUGGGCUACACACGUGCUACAAUGGCCGGUACAGAG
rnacentral:rRNA from 1 species